UGUUAAUUGUGUUAUUUGUUGUGUUUGGGUCUGGUUUUGAAUCAGAAAGGGCUUUUUAAUUUUGUUCUAAAAGUUAAAUCUUGAUUUUGUUUCAACCUGGUGUGUGCCUUAGGUUUCUGUAUUUAUGGACUUGGAAACCUUUUAAUGAUCUAAAAAGAUUGUAUUUUAGUUUUGUUUAUGAGCUGAAAAACCAUACAAGUAUG
rnacentral:misc_RNA from 1 species